CCUACGGGGGGCAGCAGUAGGGAAUAUUGCUCAAUGGGGGAAACCCUGAAGCAGCAACGCCGCGUGAAGGAAGAAGGCUUUCGGGUUGUAAACUUCUUUUGUCAGGGACGAAGAAAGUGACGGUACCUGACGAAUAAGCCACGGCUAACUACGUGCCAGCAGCCGCGGUAAUACGUAGUUGGCAAGCGUUAUCCGGAUUUACUGGGUGUAAAGGGCGUGUAGGCGGGACUGCAAGUCAGAUGUGAAAACCACGGGCUCAACCUGUGGACUGCAUUUGAAACUGUAGUUCUUGAGUACUGGAGAGGCAGACGGAAUUCCUAGUGUAGCGGUGAAAUGCGUAGAUAUUAGGAGGAACACCAGUGGCGAAGGCGGUCUGCUGGACAGCAACUGACGCUGAGGCGCGAAAGCGUGGGGAGCAAACAGGAUUAGAUACCCGGGUAGUC
rnacentral:rRNA from 1 species